AAGCAUCGGNUAANUCCGUGCCAGCACCCCGGUAAUACGGAGAAUGCAAGCGUUAUCCGGAUUCCAUUGGGUUUAANAGGGUGCGCAGNCGGAAUGAUAANUCANUGNUGAAAUCNUNCAGNUCAACUGUAGAACUGCCAUUGAUACUGUCGUUCUUGAGUACACUUGGAGUGGNCGGAAUGUGUCAUGUANCGNUGAAAUGCUUAGAUAUGACACAGAACACCGAUCGCGAAGGCAGCUCACUAAAUUGUAACUGACGCUCAGGCACGAAAGCGUGGGGAUCAAACAGGAUUAGAUACCCUGGUAGUCCACGCUGUAAACGAUGAUCACUCGAUGUUGGCGAUAUACUGUCAGCGUCUAAGCGAAAGCAUUAAGUGAUCCACCUGGGGAGUACGAUCGCAAGAUUGAAACUCAAAGGAAUUGACGGG
rnacentral:rRNA from 1 species